rnacentral:lncRNA from 1 species
CUUUGAUGGAAAUAUUCUUGGAGAGAGACUUUUCCCUCCCACGAGGCCUUAUCAAGAAGUGUGACAGUGGAGAUGGGCUGCAAUGUAAAAUGUGGAUUGUAAGGACAGUGAAAGCCUAGAUAAAUCCUCGAGACAUUCCGGGUGAAAGAGGUUUAAGGCACUGGAAGGAGCCAAGCAGCAAAGUCCAAGUGAUAAAUGAAAACUACUGGAACCUGAUAAGAAGAUGAAUAAGCUGUUUGCCAUGAAGGGGGACAAGAUGUGAAAGAAAUGACUGCUGAGGCUGCCUGAAUAACCCUUUGGUAGAAUGUGCUCAGGAAAUAACCAGAGGUCAUAGACAAGUGGAGCCAGAUGGAUGGCUUACCUCUUACCUGGGAUAUAGGGCUAGAAGGGAGAGGGACAAGAAUAAGUCUUUGUGACUUUGUGACCUACUAUGUGCCAGGCAUUGUGCUGAGACCUUUCCAAGUAAUAUCUCAUUUGAUCCUCAUCAUAGCCCUGGGAGGAAUACAGUGGAUAAACAAGUCUAUUUGUUCACUCUGGGACUUAGACCAAGUUCCAGUUAAAUCAUCUGAUUGCCACCCAGUUCACUGUCCCUAG